UCCCACACCAUCUUCCUCCUCCGAUUUCAGAAGCAAAUCUAUGCGGGUCUGGAUGACGCCCGAACGUGAAGAGCUAGCUAGCUAGCUACGAAGGGCACGCACGCAUGCACGACCGGCGCAGCUUGUGACGGACCAGGGACCGAGGUCUGCCGGGAUAACUGGCGACGACAAAGCACGGUUGCGCUGCUUCCACUGGCCACUACGCAGGAGAGGUAGCCUGCAUGCAUCCUCGCCGGAGACCCGGGCCUGCCGCUCAUGCUCACCGGCCCAGUGGUGGAUCCAUCACUGGUUCUUGUUUAUGCCAGGCUUGACCCAUGCAAGAUCCAGCAAGCGCUAGACAGAUGUUCACCUGAAGCUAGCUAGCCCCCUUGAUGUUGAGGGAACGUCGUCAUGGUGCCUACAGACACGGAAAGACAUGUGCUGGAGAGGGUACUGUACUCCUGCAGCUGAUCUGAUCGCCCGUCAAGAUCUUGAAGCUCAACGAGGAGACAAGACAAUUUGGAAAAUCUAUCAGGAAUCUGGCGUUGAUUCGAGCAUCCAGAUGUGUGCGGUAUUUUUGGGUAGAAACUGAGCAAAUUUAUUUUGUGCAAUAUGAUGUCCACCAGCUGACUCCAUCCCCAUACCCGCACUUGUCCCACCACCUUUCUGUCUAGUCACUUUUUUUUUUUUGCGCAUCUUCUGUCUAGUCACGUUACUAUAUAUGCACGCAUACUCCCACACCUCUCUCCCAUAUAGUAUAAGCUAGUAUUUUAUU